CCUACGGGAGGUAGCAGUGGGGAAUAUUGGGCAAUGGGCGCAAGCCUGACCCAGCAACGCCGCGUGAAGGAAGAAGGCUUUCGGGUUGUAAACUUCUUUUCUCAGGGACGAAGCAAGUGACGGUACUUGAGGAAUAAGCCACGGCUAACUAAGUGCCAGCAGCCGCGGUAAUACGUAGGCGGCAAGCGUUCUCCGGAUGUACUGGGUGUAAAGGGCGGGUAGGCGGGACUGCAAGUCAGAUGGGAAAACCACGGGCUCAACCUGUGGCCUGCAUUUGAAACUGUAGUUCUUGAGUACUGGAGAGGCAGACGGAAUUCCUGGUGUAGCGGUGAAAUGCGUAGAUAUUAGGAGGAACACCAGUGGCGAAGGCGGUCUGCUGGAUAGCAACUGACGCUGAGGCGCGAAAGCGUGGGGAGCAAACAGGAUUAGAUACCCGAGUAGUC
rnacentral:rRNA from 1 species